CCUUUCGCGAAAACGUUCAACCUCUCCGGAUCGAAAACGUUCUCCCUUCACUUCUGUUGUCGUUCAAGAACCUAGCAACACUUACGCCGUCUACCGUCAACUAAGUACCAGAUCCUUCACCUUCGAUUGUUCGUCGCCUGCUGUCCACUGAGUACCAGAACCUAGCAACACUUCCACCAUUCGACCGUUUUGUUGGUGCCUUUAUGUUAUCGUUGCUCAAUGGUAUGCUUUUAUUUGAUCUGGGCUAAAAUCUCAUGGCAACCACGAGCAAGAUGACCCCAACAAGAAGGACAAGAAACAACACCCUUCAUCAUCGUAUUGGCGAUCUCUUUGAGGUCGCUGCAUUUGUACUAAGAAAAAAUGGUGGAUCAAUGCGCGUUAUAUUUAUUGUUCAACAAGAAAAACUGCGGAGUUUCGAAUGAAUGGAGACGUGAAAGCCUAAAGAAUAUCGCCACCACGA
rnacentral:lncRNA from 1 species